UAGCAUCUUUGAAGGUUCUCUUUGACUUUUCCUGUAUUCCUCUCAACCCUAGACUGCCUCUGCCCACCUGCUUUCUCUGCUUUUGUUUUCAAGCUCUUAAGCUUGCUUGUGGAAAUUAUGAAACAAAGAUGAUUGAGUCAGAUAAUGUUUUUGGCUUUAUCACCUCAGCCAGAUGUUCUCUGCUACUCCACUGUCCUUUUAUAUGUUUACUGUAGUACCUAAUCCCAUGUGAGUCUUUUUAAUUUCUUAGAAGUGGGAGAUACUCUUUUCAUAGUGAAUGGUGGUAAGGAUCUAUGCUUUCAGAUUAAAUUUGCUGGUAGGUUUCUAAAUCAUGGUGCUUUUAUUUCAUUACAAUUUUUCUUUAGAACAGUUACAAUAAAAAUAUAUUUGUCACAUUGCUGUGCUGCACAUUUUAUUAUGGUCUUUAGAUGCAGAUGGCUUUUACCUUCUUGUGGAUAUAAACCACAGUAACAAAGAUCUGGUGCUUAAUUGGUCUCAUUUCCUGUUAAGCAUUGUCACUUUAAAAAUUGCUACUUAGAAGAAUGAAAAGAGGACAUUAAGAUUUCUUUCCUAGUGGCAUUAAAGAGUAAGGAAGCACAAUUCAGUUAUAAUUUGUUCAGUUAUAUUGGGUAGCCAACAAGACUGAAUGAAUUAAAAAAUAAAAGAAAUGCUUGUUGGUUUAUGGUCAAAACAUCUCUAGGAAUUUUGUACUGUUGGUGCAGUAAAAAAGUAAUUGUUUUAUUAAAUUGCUUCAGUGUUCCCAGCAUUGCACCACUAACUGUGGUGGAGCCAGAGGAAGUACAGGAUAUUUUAUCUGACUUGAAAAACUUGUAUUAUAUAUUGGAGAAAAAAAUGGUAAUACACACGAAUGCUGUGAGAUAGAAUGUGAUAUAAAACACAACCUUUUUACAAAGGUUAAUGAUGUCCUGUUGCCCAAAAUAGAGUCCAUGCUCCAUGGAAUAGUGUGCUUGCUCAUUGACCUCUGGGUCCUAACCACCCUUUCCAGGAUCAUCUUUCUCCAUUGCAUGCCCCUGAAACAUGCCCUACACUCCAGUCACUUUGAUGUGCUUAUUAUUGCAGAAUGUAUUAUCUACCUCAAUACCUGCCUGCUUUGGUGAAUUUUUGAAACCAGCAAGUUUACCUUUUUGCCAUUGUGUUUUCCCAUUGCUACCACCACAGAGCUAAAGCCUAUUACUGGAAGGCUGCCUUGGGCAAAACCGUGAAAUAGAAGUACAACAGUGAACAAAACGGAUCCAAGUUCCUGCCCUGAUGACGCUUACAUUAUAGUCAAGGAAGACAGACAAAAUAGCACCCUGUUUUCUUGAUGAAGCACUCAGCUCUUCUGUAGGCCUAAUGCUUCCCAAGGAGCUGAGCCCAGUCCCAGCUUCAGCACCAGGUUUAAUGUGUCUCAGGUGAAUACCCAUCUCUUGUACCUCUAACAGUUUCACAUGAAGAGGGUCAGAUGAUGGCUAAAGCCCCCUGAUGUUAGGAAUAAUGUUGCUUUUGUUGUUUUUUGGAGGGGUCUUCUUUAUGCUUACAAAGAGAAAGCUUCCAGAACUGGUUCUCUUUCUCUUCUGCUGGGCUCCUGGCUGCAUUCUAAUACCAAAAGGAAGACUAGCUUUAGGACAAAGAUUCACUGUAGAUCAUAGAGCGGAGAAAAACAUUCCCAACCAGGAACAUUGUAACUCAUGUCUGUGUGUGUGUGUGUGUGUGUGUGUGUGUGUGUGUGUGUAAGACAGAGAGAGAAUGAGAGAGACCAAAAGAUAAUCGGUCAAUGGGGGAACAUCGUGGGUAAUAAGAACGUAUGUCUUCAUUUUUUUUCCCUUUGGAAAUUCACAAAGGGAAAAUUAAAAUGUGCCUUUUGGAUUUUUACUUUAAAUAUCUGUAUGAACUAAAUCAUCUGCAUGCAUUUAAUAAAAUGUGUUUUCUCCUGUUCCCCUUCCUCUCAAAGAUGUUGUUUUUCUCACUGAAAAAUUUCAAAAUGCUUAUGUGGUUGACUGGAUAUAAAAUCAUAAAGCCAAGCCUUCUGAAGUUGAAAGUCUUAUUGCCUUACAUGAUGUUCUUUUCAUGAUAUAGUUUUCUAAUAUUUGCCUUUUUUAGUGCCUCAUAGAGUAGAAUUGGACUUCUUAUCUUUUGCCCAAAAGAUAUUUGAAUCUGAGAAACUUUUUACUUGCAAAUUCCAAUUUAUUAGAAUAUCCCCCAAAUUAAAUUUGAAAGCAAUUCUAAAAUGUGGAAUACACUUUGAACCACUCCCUCUUUUCUGAGGGAAGACAGAAAAGGAGAUUUGGUUAGUCCUUCCUGUGAUUUCCCAUUCUUCUGCCUUGAUAGGCACCAUUUAAAACAAUGCACGUGAAAAGAGAAUACCUCAAAGAAUAUCUGCUUGGGACCUCAUGAAAGGAAUGUGAGAUGAAAAAAAUUGGCGAUGUGUGACUCCAUGCUCUAAUGACUGAAAAGAUAAUUACCGCGAGGUAUCCAGAGUAAUUUAGAGGGGAAUUGGAAUUUUAUAAGAGAAAGCGAAAAUGCAUUUGUGAAAAAGAGGGACGGUUGGGGGGAAAUGUUAUUUUAGCCACAUAUUCUGGCCCUACGUGACAUAAAAGAGUAUGAAUUUCAAGAGGACAAUAUAAAAGAAAUUAUAGUAAUCAAGAUAGGAAAUUAUUAAGGGAUAGGAGAAAAUUUCAGCUGAGAGGGAAUGUGAAGAUUAAGUAUAAAUUCUAACAGUCUGGUUGACAAGUUGAUGAGCACAUUUACAGAUGAGAAAUGUAGAAGGAACAAAAGGAUGACUUCAACCAUUUUGUGUAAGAGCCAAUGUUAGGUUUGUAUUAGAAAGAAUGAGAAUGGAAUUUCAGUAGAGAAGUUUCUGAAAAAAGGAGAACAGUAAUGUUUUGCCAAAGUUUUCUUGGGAGGUUUCCUUCAAGACUGACAUUCUUUUCUUUCAUAGGUGCCUAUUGGUGGGUGGUUUAAUGUUUUCUGUAUCUAAUUUUUCUUUUAUUGUUGAGGGAAAUAAGAGGGGAACUCAGAGAGGAGAGAUAUAUAUUGUUUUAGGAGGUAGACUAAAUGGAUGCUUUACUUAUUUUGCCUGUUGUAUAAAUUUGAUCCUGUGAUGUAAAAAUGUCUAUAUUCAUAAACUGGAAUAUCUUCAUAAUUCCUGUUUGGGAGAAACAACUUGGCUGGCAGUAUUAGCUGUACCAACGCUGGCAAAGCACUGGAUUUGGGAUCUGAGGAUUCAGAUUCAAGUCUGGGUCUUUUAUUUAGCAGCUUUUUGACUUGAGCAAGACACUUAAUUACCUUAGGGAGGAUAUGGUCAGAUGCAUGCAUGGGAGGCUCUCCUGGGAAUGGAGUGGCUCGUGUAGGUGAUCUGGAAAGUACCUACAAUGCUGAGGAAAUAGUACUUUUGUUUUCUUUAUUUAUUUUUGUCUUCAUUUUUUUUUUUUUUUUCUGAUACACUUAUAAUGUCUGUGUGGAGGCAACCAUAGCCACUUUGGGCCAGUGGUAAACAGUGAAGAGUGGUGGAGACUGCGACAAAUCUGUGUCUGUAUGCCAGGACUAGAAAGUAUAGUUUUUUACUCAGCUCAAAGUGGUUAUUGACAUGGGGGAUUGCAGGCCUCAUUUGCAAGAACUUCUAGUUUUUUGUUCUGUUUUAAUUUGUUUUUUAGGAGAAGACUGAAAUUUGGAUUUCUUAUUGAAGUUUCUAAUAUAUAUAUAGUUUCAUAUAUAUACAUAAAAGUCUGUUCAAAUAUAUAUAUAUGUGUGUGUGUGUAUACAUAUAUAUAUACAUAUAAAUAUAUAUACACACAUACAUACACACAUAAAGAGAAUAUACAUACAUACAUACAUACAUACACACAUACAUACACAGAGCGAGAGCAAGAGAGAGAGAGAGAGAGAGAGAGAGAGAGAGAGAGAGAGAUGCAGUUCAUCAAAAAACAUUUUUGCCCACACUGUUGUGGGCUGAGCAAAACAAGUCUCUGAGCCAGACGUGGCCUGUGGCUGCACUUUGGGUCUUGUACUUUAAACUAUUUUUCUUAGGUGUGUGUUGAGAUCCUGAUAAGCUAAAUAGCAUUGCACUAGAUUCUUUUUUAAAUGUUGAGCAAUAUUCCAGGAAAUUCCUAAUGUCCUAUAUUUUGUUUAGGUAAGCUUUAAACUUUUGCUUAAAUUUGAAAAAAAAUUACUUUAUUGGGUUGAAAAUAAACAUGCUAUUGAAGCAUGGGAAGGAUUGUAAAGGAGGGGAUUAUUGAUUUGAUUUCUUUAUUUUUACUGACUUAUUACCACAAACUUUGUUUUCAGUGUUUCUUACAGAA